rnacentral:rRNA from 1 species
UACAGAGGUCCCAAGCGUUGUUCGGAUUCACUGGGCGUAAAGGGUGCGUAGGUGGUAAGGUAAGUCGGAUGUGAAAGCUCGGAGCUCAACUCCGAAAUGGCAUUGGAAACUACCUUGCUCGAGGGUUGGAGGGGGGACUGGAAUACUUGGUGUAGCAGUGAAAUGCGUAGAUAUCAAGUGGAACACCAGUGGCGAAGGCGAGUCCCUGGACAAUUGCUGACGCUCAGGCACGAAAGCGUGGGGAGCAAAAGGG